rfam:Xanthomonadaceae bacterium SCN 69-48 ABS98_C0036, whole genome shotgun sequence.
GGCUCGGUAGCUCAGUUGGUAGAGCAGGGGAUUGAAAAUCCCCGUGUCGGCGGUUCGAUUCGUUUUGCAUUG